AACGAACGCUGGCGGCAGGCUUAACACAUGCAAGUCGAACGGGUGUAGCAAUACAUCAGUGGCAGACGGGUGAGUAACACGUGGGAACCUUCCUAGGGGUACGGAACAACUCAGGGAAACUUGAGCUAAUACCGUAUACGUCCGUGAGGAGAAAGAUUUAUCGCCCUUAGACGGGCCCGCGUCGGAUUAGCUAGUUGGUGGGGUAACGGCCUACCAAGGCCACGAUCCGUAGCUGAUCUUAGAGGAUGAUCAGCCACACUGGGACUGAGACACGGCCCAGACUCCUACGGGAGGCAGCAGUGGGGAAUCUUGGACAAUGGGCGCAGGCCUGAUCCAGCCAUGCCGCGUGAGUGAAGAAGGUCUUCGGAUUGUAAAGCUCUUUUGCCAGGGACGAUAAUGACGGUACCUGGAGAAUAAGCCCCGGCAAACUUCGUGCCAGCAGCAGCCGCAG
rnacentral:rRNA from 1 species